AAAGUUGUUGUUGAGUUUAGGAGCCCGCCUGAAGAAAGGAAAGGCGUUUUAUUUUUAAAAGUUGUUGAAAUCUCGCCAGCCUAAAGAAAGGAAUGGCAUUUUAUUUUCAAAGUUGUUGUUGAGGUCAGGAGCCCGCCUGAAGAAACGAAAGGCGUUUUAUUUUGAAAAGUUGUUGAAAUCUCGCCAGCCUAAAGAAAGGAAUGACAUUUUAUUUUCAAAGUUGUUGUUGAGGUCAGGAGCCUGCCUGAAGAGAGGGAAGGCGUUUUAUUUUUUAAAAGUUGUUGAAAUCACACCAGCCUAAAGAAAGGAAUGACAUUUUAUUUUCAAAGUUGUUGUUGAAGUCAGGAGCCCGCCAGAAGAAAGGAAUGGCGCUUUAUUUUCAAAGUUGUUGUUGAGGUCAGGAGCCCGCCUGAAGAAAGGAAAGGUGUUUUAUUUUUCAAAGUUGUUGAUGAAGUCAGGAUCCCGCCUGAAGAAAGGAAUGA
rnacentral:lncRNA from 1 species